GAGAAGAAUCUGUCAAGCUUCGAAAGCAGCCUGUGCCCACUGUGCUGAUUGUGAGCUGUUGGAGAAGCCUGCUCCAGCAAGUGAUGGGAAUUGCCUCGUUCCUACCCUUCUUAGUUGGUGAGAGUGACCGGAUUGAUCGCACAUUCUCCUGCCGUUUGGGCCACAUGGUACUGUGGACAGUUCUGCUAUUCCUGGUUCCUGUUGCUGGAACAUCUGAUCUCCCAAAGGCAGUAGUGAACCUUGAGCCACCAUGGAUCAAUGUGCUCCAAGGGGACAACGUGACUCUGAAAUGCCACGGGGCCAACACCUCUGAGGAUAGCUCCACCCAAUGGUUCCACAGAGGGGACCUCAUCCCAACUCACGUCCAGCCCAGCUACAGCUUUAGCGCCACUGCCCACAGCAGCGGGGAGUACAGGUGCCAGACAGGCCAGACCAACCUCAGCGACCCCGUGCAGCUGAGUGUGUUUUCCGAUUGGCUGCUGCUGCAGACCCCUCGCCUGGUGUUUCAAGACGGGGAGACCAUUGUGCUGAGGUGCCACAGCUGGAAGAACUGGAUUCUGUACAAGGUCACGUUCUACCAGAAUGGAAAAUCCAAGAAGUUUUUUGGUAAAAAUUCCAACUUCACCAUCCCACAAGCAAACCACAAUCACAGUGGAGAUUAUCACUGCACGGGAAUGAUAGGGCAAAAUCUCCAGUCAUCACAGCCUGUGACCAUCACUGUCCAAGGGUCUAACAAUGUGAGGAACUCUUCACUGGUGAUGACUAUGAGGAACUCUUCAGGCUCUUUACUGGUGAUGGUUGCCGCUGUGGUCUCAGGGAUUUCUGUAAUGGCCGUUGUUGCUGCUGUAUUAACCAUAUCCUACCUCAGACGAAAGCAGAUUUCAGCUCACCCAGGAAACCCUGAACGCAGGGAAAUGGGAGAGACCCUCCCUGAGCAACCAGCCAGUUUCCCUAAUGCUGAAGAAGCUGCCAAAGUUGAGGCUGAGAAGAUAGUCACCUAUUCACUUCUCAAGCACCCAGAAGGUCCAGAGGAAGAAAUAGGGCCCCCGGAUUACGAGAACUGCCCUUAGUCUCUACUGUCUUGCCCUGGGACUUGGAGAAAAGAAUCAGAGAGGUUGUUGUUGUUAAGCUGCCGUCAAGUUGAGAAUAUAUCAAAUAAAACAAUUGCUUUGUCUUGCUAACACAAGUUCUCAGGAGGCCAAGCUUAAGAUGAGUCACCAGUGGGAAAUGCUGUCUUCUGGCUCUGCUAUUCUCCCAUUAGAGUUACCAGAAGGAGAAGAGUUUCUUGGAGAAGUCAUCCUUGGCAGCUUUCUUGCAGGAUGCCUUUGCUGGAUGCCUGUGGAGAGGGUUUGUGUUCCUGGAACUCUAGUACAGCAUCAUUGUGCAACACUUUUCUUGCUUUCAGGAUUCAACAGCUUCCUCUGUUAGGUAGUUUCCAUAACUUUCUAUGAUACUCACGUUUUAUAGCCCCACAAUCAGCUUUCAUGCUCUCAUAUUGUAAUAAUAAUAAAGAAUGGUAAUUACAAUUGCUGGGUU